UACGUAGGGCGCAAGCGUUGUCCGGAAUUAUUGGGCGUAAAGAGCUCGUAGGCGGUUUGUCGCGUCUGCUGUGAAAACCCGAGGCUCAACCUCGGGCCUGCAGUGGGUACGGGCAGACUAGAGUGCGGUAGGGGAGAUUGGAAUUCCUGGUGUAGCGGUGGAAUGCGCAGAUAUCAGGAGGAACACCGGUGGCGAAGGCGGCUUCCUGGACCGACACUGACGCUGAGGCGCGAAAGCUAGGGGAGCAAACGGG
rnacentral:rRNA from 1 species